GCUAAAAUGGCUAUCAGUGGGAUUGUCUACUCUAUAGGAGAUUGGAUUGCACAAUGCUAUGAAGGAAAACCACUUUUUGAGUUUGACCGGAUUCGCAUGUUUAGAUUGGGUUUACUCUUCAUGGAUCCUUGUCUCAUUAUUACUACCAAUUCUGUGAGGCUCUUUUUCCUUUUCAAGAUUGGUGGGUGGUCCCUGCCAAAGUCGCCUUUGACCAAACAAUAUGGGCUGCAGUCUGGAACAGCAUCUAUUUCACAGUGUUGGGUUUCCUGCGUUUGGAGUCCCCAGCAAAUAUUUUUAGUGAACUGAGAGCAACAUUUUGGCCUAUGUUGACCGCUGGAUGGAAGCUUUGGCCAUUUGCUCAUUUGAUUACUUAUGGUCUUAUCCCCGUUGAAGAGAGGCUUCUUUGGGUGGACUGUGUGGAACUCAUCUGGGUUACCAUACUCUCUACUUACUCAAAUGAAAAAUCAGAGGCUCGGAUAUCUGAAGCAACAUUAGAAGAAAGUGCAAAUUCCACAAGCAAUCCUACUGAGGAGUAAAUGAAUUGGAAGAUCAUGGCUAAAUGAGAAGGGUCUUGUGAUUGUUGUCAAUAGAUUAACCAACCAUAUCCGCCUUUCCGCGUCUUGAAACUAAACAUAUUACACUGGAAAUGUGCAUAUCAACAGCUUAAUCAGAUUACCGCCUUCACAGGAAUUUUCAUUUUGUUUUUGAAGUUGUGUAUGCUAUCACUGUCAGUUCAUAUU
rnacentral:misc_RNA from 1 species